UUUCCGUAGGUGAACCUGCGGAAGGAUCAUUACUGAGUGAGGGCCCUCUGGGUCCAACCUCCCACCCGUGUUUAUUGUACCUUGUUGCUUCGGUGCGCCCGCCUCACGACCGCCGGGGGGCUUCUGCCCCCGGGUCCGCGCGCACCGGAGACACCAUUGAACUCUGUCUGAAGAUUGCAGUCUGAGCAUAAACUAAAUAAGUUAAAACUUUCAACAACGGAUCUCUUGGUUCCG
rnacentral:misc_RNA from 1 species